rfam:Parcubacteria bacterium DG_74_2 WOR1_52_54_94, whole genome shotgun sequence.
GCCCCUAUAGCUCAAUGGAUAGAGCAGUGGCUUCCUAAGCCAUUGAUCUGGGUUCGACUCCCGGUAGGGGCA